rnacentral:rRNA from 1 species
UACAGAGGUCUCAAGCGUUGUUCGGAUUCAUUGGGCGUAAAGGGUGCGUAGGCGGUCGUGCAAGUCGGAUGUGAAAUCUCAGGGCUCAACCCUGAAACUGCAUUCGAUACUGCGCGGCUAGAGUGCUGGAGGGGAGACUGGAAUUUACGGUGUAGCAGUGAAAUGCGCAGAUAUCAGGAGGAACACCCGUAGCGAAGGCGGCACUCUGGGCCGAUACUGACACUGAGGAGCGAAAGCGUGGGGAGCGAACAGG